CACCGACAUCAGCGAUUCAUUCUGCGAACCGUUGCCAACCGCCAGGUAAGAGUUCAUACCCAGCUCUUUCAUCUGCUGUUCGCCGAUGACGCGGGUGAUCACAUUCUUACUGUAGGUAUCGGCCAGCUGACGGGCCUGAGAGGCCAGAUAGGCGGCGUUACAGAUGUUUGGCGGCAUAUUGCCGAGGUCUUUGGC
rfam:Raoultella planticola strain GCSL-DIFS-295 CFSAN029441_contig1192, whole genome shotgun sequence.